AACGCAUUAAGUAUCCCGCCUGGGGAGUACGGUCGCAAGACUGAAACUCAAAGGAAUUGACGGGGACCCGCACAAGCAGCGGAGCAUGUGGUUUAAUUCGAAGCAACGCGAAGAACCUUACCAAGGCUUGACAUCCCUUGACAGCCAUAGAGAUAUGGAUUCCCUUCGGGGCAAGGAGACAGGUGGUGCAUGGUUGUCGUCAGCUCGUGUCGUGAGAUGUUGGGUUAAGUCCCGCAACGAGUGCAACCCUUAUCAUUAGUUGCCAGCACGUAAAGGUGGGAACUCUAAUGAGACUGCCGGGGAUAACUCGGAGGAAGGUGGGGACGACGUCAAAUCAUCAUGCCCCUUAUGUCUUGGGCUACACACGUGCUACAAUGGCCGGUACAAAGAGCAGCGAAGCCGUGAGGCGGAGCGAAUCUCAAAAAACCGGUCCCA
rnacentral:rRNA from 1 species